GAUGAACGCUAGCGGCAGGCUUAACACAUGCAAGUCGAGGGGUAUUUAUCUUCGGAUAGAGAGACCGGCGCACGGGUGCGUAACGCGUAUGCAAUCUACCUUUUACAGAGGGAUAGCCCAGAGAAAUUUGGAUUAAUACCUCAUAGUAUAUAGACUCGCCAUCGAGAUUAUAUUAAAGUCACAACGGUAAAAGAUGAGCAUGCGUCCCAUUAGCUAGUUGGUAAGGUAACGGCUUACCAAGGCUACGAUGGGUAGGGGUCCUGAGAGGGAGAUCCCCCACACUGGUACUGAGACACGGACCAGACUCCUACGGGAGGCAGCAGUGAGGAAUAUUGGACAAUGGGCGCAAGCCUGAUCCAGCCAUGCCGCGUGCAGGAUGACGGUCCUAUGGAUUGUAAACUGCUUUUAUACGAGAAGAAACACUGCUACGUGUAGCAGCUUGACGGUAUCGUAAGAAUAAGGAUCGGCUAACUCCGUG
rnacentral:rRNA from 1 species